UACGUAGGCAGCAAGCGUUGUUCGGAGUUACUGGGCGUAAAGGGUGCGUAGGCGGUCCUGUAAGUAUGGUGUGAAAUCUCCCGGCUUAACUGGGAGGGUGCGCUAUAGACUGCGGGGACUAGAGGGUGGGAGAGGAAAGUGGAAUUCCUGGUGUAGCGGUGAAAUGCGUAGAUAUCAGGAGGAACACCGGUGGUGUAAACGGCUUUCUGGACCAUUUCUGACGCUGAGGCACGAAAGCGUGGGUAGCAAACAGG
rnacentral:rRNA from 1 species